AGGUUUAUCAUAGAUUCUACCCUCCUGGAAACACUAGAAAACUCUACAGUGCUUUGCUGAUUGCAGAGGGGUAGGGUGAAGAAGAGAAAUGGAUCUCUGCUUCCUGAAACAGUCACACGAGGACACCUCAAAUUCCUAGGCAGCAGUAAGAAUGAGAAAGAAAGAAUGAGAAAGCCCGUCGUUUUGCAUCAAGGCCCCAGUGUAGGCGGGGUGUCAGCUCUUGCCGAGGGCUACCUCAUGCCCAAUUUACAAGCAAAAACAAGGCCAAAGGAGUGAGUUUUUUAAACGUGCUUUUGUAAAAUAAUCUCACAGCAAACAGUGGGAGCCGCAGCUAAAGACACGUUCUGCAGCCUGUCCAGCCCGUAUGUAUAAGUCCCUUAGAUGGGACUCGAACAAAGACACAACAGCAGCGGGGGCACUUCAGCACAGCCCAUGAGUAACAGAACAACAGCAGCAAAAAUACAUUUCUCCAGCUCUUGGCAUCUUCAUAACAUGCAUAGUCGUGCAGCAUAAUUUUUGCCGUGGGCAACUUGCCUGCAAAGGUCAGCAGGCAACAUCCUUCUUGUGCUGGGCAACCUUCACAGCAUAACAGCACUACCUGUCCAUGUGCCUGAGCAUGGGUGUGCCCUUAGUACUUCGCUUGAAAAAGAGGCACAGUGUAACACCGAGGCCGUGAACUCUAGUUUUUCUCUAGCAAAUCACGAGGAAGCAGCAGUAAACCUGCUCGGAGUUUCCCCCCCUUCUAUCCAAGUGGCUCUUUGCUUUUGAACAUGUGCUUCACUGAUUCUCCUUCACCCCCCCCUCCCCAAAUAGCUCUAGUCGCUGCCUGGAAGGAUGAGAUUUUACCUGAAAUGCAAGGCAAGUUGACCGUGCAGGUUUUGUGAAAACUUGCCUUCAUAACAAGUCAUCCACGGAUUGACUUCACUCAAAGUCUUAAACUUUCUUAUUGGAUAUAAUUGUUAUUAAAGAAUUUUUUAAAGGAAUAAAAGCAAUAGAAAUUUUGAAAGAAAAAGGUUAGGAAAGUGAAGUAUUAAGU